rnacentral:rRNA from 1 species
AGUGAACGCUGGCGGCAGGCCUAAUACAUGCAAGUCGAACGGCAGCACAGUGGAGCUUGCUCCAUGGGUGGCGAGUGGCGGACGGGUGAGGAAUACAUGGGAAUCUGCCCAGUCGUGGGGGAUAACGUAGGGAAACUUACGCUAAUACCGCAUGCGCCCUUCGGGGGAAAGCCGGGGACCUUCUGGCCUGGCGCGAUUGGAUGAGCCCAUGUUCGAUUAGCUAGUUGGCGGGGUAAAGGCCCACCAAGGCGACGAUCGAUAGCUGGUCUGAGAGGAUGAUCAGCCACACUGGGACUGAGACACGGCCCAGACUCCUACGGGAGGCAGCAGUAGGGAAUAUUGGACAAUGGGCGCAAGCCUGAUCCAGCCAUGCCGCGUGAGUGAAGAAGGCCCUCGGGUUGUAAAGCUCUUUUGUCCGGGAAGAAAAGCAUCGGGCUAAUACCUCGGUGUUCUGACGGUACCGGAAGAAUAAGCACCGGCUAACUUCGUG